AGUGAACGCUGGCGGCAGGCCUAACACAUGCAAGUCGAGCGGCAGCGGGUCCCCGCGAGGGGAUGCCGGCGAGCGGCGGACGGGUGAGGAACACAUCGGAAUCUGCCUGGUUGUGGGGGAUAACGUAGGGAAACUUACGCUAAUACCGCAUGCGACCCUGAGUCGACGGACUUGGGGUGAAAGUGAGGGACCUUCGGGCCUCACGCGACCAGAUGAGCCGAUGUCGGAUUAGCUAGUUGGCGGGGUAACGGCCCGCCAAGGCGACGAUCCGUAGCUGGUCUGAGAGGAUGAUCAGCCACACUGGGACUGAGACACGGCCCA
rnacentral:rRNA from 1 species